GAUGAUGGAAGCCAUCAACUUGAGAUGUGAAAAAGAUCUUCAGUCAAAGAAGCUCUGAUAAGGAAGAAGGCUUGGAUCCAGACUGAAACUGAUGCCCAGACUCCUAACGUGCCAAGUAUGCUACAACAUGCAAAAGCAGGACUUUGGCAGGACCUGAGUUGAUUAGAAGGAGUUAAUUUCAUGUAAAACCAGUGGGGG